GGGGGUGUCAUGGAAUUCGAUUACAAGUGGAAAUAUUGGGAAGCAAGUCGUGGGUGAUGAUCGGGGUCACGUUAAAACGAUCAUCAAAAUGUUAGCUGCAAACAACGCUGACUACGCUCCUGCUCAAGUCGCACUAGCGGCUUAAUUGAAGUAGGCGUCUUUCGUUAGGUUAGCCUGAAACGUAACGCAAGAUGUCAUCUAAGUCAGGCUGGCUGUUGUACUCCUCCGUAACAACAGU
rnacentral:tmRNA from 1 species